GUGACAUGUACAAAUCAGCAUAAUGCGCAGCACAAAGCUCUACCUCCUAAUACCUUAUUCAAGAAAAAGGAGAAAUCAGAUACUUGUCUUUGGCUCUCUUGACCAACCAAAAUGGUAAGGCAAAAAAGAAGAGGCAUGGGGUUGUGGCAACCCCUAAAUAGGUUGUUUCUGGACUUCAUUCUACUCAUGGUACGGCAGCAGUUUUCCUCAUGACCCAUAUCACCAACACAACGAAAUCACUCACACAUGAGGACAGCGUGACAAUUUCUGGUUGAUGACAGAAAAUGGACUACUGGAGCCGGGGUAAGCACUGUAUCACGUGAUUGGGACAAGCUUGAGGACAAAGCUGACUCCGUGAGGAUGGCAGGUGGCACACAUGGCUGGAAUGUAGUUCUUCAUGAUACUCUUGAGACUUUAUAUUAACCAGUUCUGAACUCACCACUACUCUGACUUUAUUGUAAUGAAAUUUCUCUACUAUUUAAUAAAGAAUAAUAAAUUUACUUAUUGUUCAACUCA